GGUAGAAAAGAGCCUUUGUUUCAUCCUGUUCAACUGUACUCUUUUUCCCUGAGAAGUGAAAACCAAAGGAAGUACUUAUUGUGUCCUGUAUACUCUUCCAUAGUUAAGCUGCCCCCCCUUUCCAUUUCUGCAAAUGUUACUCCGACGAGUACCUACACUCACAGCAGCUCUUUCAUGGCGCUUUCCACCGUACAUCUUCUUCCAUACUCCACCACACCUCCUCAUCUCCUUAAAAUCACAAUCUUCUUACCCUAAAAUUAAUUCUCAUCUCUUCUGCUCCACCGCUCAGUUAUCUUCCUAUAUCACCGAUCCAGUUCCUGAAGAGUCCUCGAAACGUGGUCCUUUAAAACCUGGUUUAUAUCUAGUAGGAACUCCAAUUGGAAACCUUGAAGACAUUACAUUGAGGGCUCUUCGUGUUCUAAAAUCUGCACACGUUAUUCUUGCAGAAGACACUAGGCACUCCGGGAAGUUACUUCACCAUUAUAAUAUUAAGACUUCCCUUCUGAGUUAUCAUAAAUUCAAUGAAUCUCAAAGAGAAUUGUUGGUGUUAAGGAGGUUGAAACAGGGUGAAAUUGUUGCUCUGAUUAGCGAUGCUGGCACGCCUGGCAUUAGUGAUCCUGGUUCAGAAUUGGCAAAAUUAUGCGUGGAUGAAAAUAUUCCUGUCGUUCCUAUUCCUGGACCUUCAGCUGCAGUAGCUGCUCUUUCUGCUUCAGGACUGCCUACCGAUGAGUUUACAUUUGUUGGAUUUCUUUCUAACCAUAGUAGAACCCGGAGAGAGAGGCUGAUGGUGUCCGCAGAUGAGGCAAGAACACAAAUAUUUUAUGUUCCGCCACACAAACUCUCCAAGUUUCUUGAAGAGACUUCAUCACUCUUUGGUGACUCAAGACGUUGUGUAAUGGCUCGGGAGGUCACAAAAGUACACGAGGAGUAUAUGCAUAUUACCAGUUUUGGCGAGGUACUUUGGGGAAAGCAAAAGAUACGUUUUCAGAUCACCAACCAAAGGGAGAGAUCACACUGUUAAUUGAAGGCAAAGCAAAUGAUAUGGUUGAAACUCCUUCAGAUAGUCUGCUGGAGGAUGAAUUGAGACACCUAAUCUCUAGUGGGCAAAGUCUAUCUAUGGCAGUCAAAUUGGUAGCUGAAGAAAUGUCGGUGAAGAAGAAAACAGUUUAUUCACUAGCAUUGAAGAAAUUUGGGAAGCAAUUUGAAGUAGAUGAUAAUUCAUCAACAUCUGUCUAGAACAAUUUUAACUCUUAGAGAUGUGUUGUAUAUUGACGUGUGGCAUUGGAUAAUUGCUCAGUUACAUAAUGAGACGUUAGAUUUAACUGUAA